rnacentral:rRNA from 1 species
AUGACCAUCCCGAUCGCGUUUUCCGGUCAAAAUCUCACUCGAACGACACUCCUUUGCUCUGGAAAUUCGUCGGUCCUCCUCCCGUGCGCCGCGCACUGCACCCGUAGACCGGCGGCUCCAUCGAUUUCAACCCUCGUGCUCACUUGCCAGGUCUCCGUUCACCCGCCGCCCGCUGGAGUGCACGAGACGACGAGAGCGCUGAAACUUCCUCCACACCCCCGCCGUAAAACAAUCACCCAGGCCAGGAGCCCCAGCAGCCAGCGGCACAAGUCCACCCCCAAAUCCACACGGAACAGGGCAAACCCUCUCCCCAUGGACCAGCCGAAGCCGACGCCGUCGGCGGCCGCCUCGCCGGCGGGGGCGGACGCGGCGCCCAACCCCUACGCCUUCACGUGCGAGCUCCCCCACUCGAUCUACGCGCUGGCCUUCUCCCCCUCCGCGCCCGUCCUCGCCGCCGGGAGCUUCCUCGAGGACCUCCACAACCGCGUCUCCCUCCUCUGCUUCGACUCCGUCCACCCCACCGCCGCCUCCUUCCGCGCCGUCCCCUCCCUCUCCUUCGACCACCCCUACCCGCCCACCAAGCUCCAGUUCAACCCGCGCGCUGCCUCCACGCCCCUCCUCGCCUCCUCCUCCGACGCCCUCCGCCUCUGGCACGCCCCCCUCGACGACCUCUCCGCCUCCGCCCCCGCCCCCGAGCUCCGCUCCGUCCUCGACAACCGCAAGGCCUCCGCCUCCGACUUCUGCGCGCCCCUCACCUCCUUCGACUGGAACGAGAUCGAGCCCCGCCGCAUCGGGACCGCCUCCAUCGACACCACCUGCACCGUCUGGGACAUCGAGCGCGGCGUCGUCGAGACGCAGCUCAUCGCGCACGACAAGGCCGUGCACGACAUCGCCUGGGGGGAGGCCGGCGUCUUCGCCUCCGUCUCCGCCGAUGGCUCCGUCCGCGUCUUUGAUCUCCGGGACAAGGAGCACUCCACCAUCGUCUACGAGAGCCCCCGCCCGGACACGCCGCUCCUCAGGCUUGCCUGGAACCGCUAUGACCUACGGUACAUGGCCGCCCUGCUCAUGGACAGCAACGCCGUCGUUGUGCUCGACAUACGCGCACCCGGGGUGCCUGUGGCCGAGCUACAUCGGCAUGGGGGAUGCGUCAACGCUGUUGCGUGGGCACCGCAGGCUGCAAGACACCUCUGCUCCGCAGGGGACGACGGGCAGGCGCUCAUCUGGGAGCUGCCUGAGGCACCGGCAGCAGUGCCUCCCGAAGGGAUUGAUCCAGUUCUUGUUUAUGAUGCGGGUGCCGAGAUAAACCAGCUGCAGUGGGUGGCCGGACACCCGGACUGGAUGGGCAUUUCCAUUGAGAACAAGGUCCAGCUUCUCCGGGUCUGA